rnacentral:rRNA from 1 species
UACAGAGGUCCCAAGCGUUGUUCGGAUUCACUGGGCGUAAAGGGUGCGUAGGUGGCUUGGUAAGUUCGAUGUGAAAUCUCCGGGCUUAACCCGGAAAUGGCAUUGAAUACUAUUGAGCUGGAGGUUUGGAGGGGGGACUGGAAUUCUCGGUGUAGCAGCGAAAUGCGUAGAUAUCGAGAGGAACACCAGUGGCGAAGGCGAGUCCCUGGACAACACCUGACACUGAGGCACGAAAGCUAGGGGAGCAAACAGG